CCGCUGUGCGCCGUUCNACCUCGUACAGUAUGUCCCUCCGCCCGAAACCUGUCAGAAUGUUGACGACCGAAGGAUGAUGUGACGUAGCCCCUGCUCUCAAGUCCGCUUCAGUGCGGACCGAUGCGGGCCUCGUACGCUCAACGCUCGUGUGCUUGACUGUCAGAAUUGGGUGCGGCAUUCGCCGAUGCAAUCAGAAGGAAACGGCGCCGUGCCCCAGUCCACCGCCGGGGUCCAUCAUCGUUGUCACCGUGGAAAACUCAGUGUGCUCAACGCGGCCAUCAGAGUCGAAUGGUAAUCAUCGGCUGAAUGCCCGUCCAUGGAAUGUCGUAGCAUCGACCUGAAUCUCGGCCAAUCCUCGCGGAUUUGUGCUGGCCUUCGUGCUGUUUCGGGAAAACGUGGCUUCACUGACUGCUCUCUCCCACGGCGCGGCGAGAUCACUGGUAGCGGACCGCGGGCCCUCGGGCUCCAGCGCCGCAGGCAGUGCCACCGCACCCAACGGGAGUCUGCUUCGCUCGGUGUCGCCGAUCGCUCAUGAUGGGAAUGCUCGAGGUGAAGGAUAUUGUGGCGCCAGAGGUGAAAUUCUUAGACCGCCGCAGGAUCAACGGCGGCGAAGGCGCUCUGCAAGUGCAUGUUCAUCGAUCAAGGACGAGAGUGUGGGGAGCAAAGAUGAUCAGACACCGUCGUAGUCCACAACUGUAAACCAUGCCGGCUCGACGUCGGGAGCGCAAGUCAUUACGCGACGCUCUCUGCGUCAUGCCCCCUGCAACGAGAAAUCCAAAGCCUUUGGGUUCCGGGGGGAGUACGUUCGCAAGGCUGAAACUUAAAGGAAUUGACGGAAUGGCACCACCAGGCGUGGAGUAUGCGGCUUAAUUUGACUCAACACGGGGAAUGUUACCAGGUCAGGACGUCGCCAGGAUGGACAGACUGAGAGCUCUUUCUUGAUUCUGCGGAUGGUGGUGCAUGGCCGCUCCUGAUGCGUGGAUUGAUUUGUCUGGCUGAUCCCGAUAACGAGUGAGACAUCUGCCUUCCAACUUAGCCCCACGCCUCGCAAUCGGUAGGGACUGGACCCGCGUCGCUCGCUGUGUUUGGCUCCGUCGGCGGUUUGCCGUCGCGCGGCGCUGGCACACGGCGUGCGGGUUGCGCCCGAGAGGCUGGGAAACAUGUUCAUGUGUCGCUUCUCUGAGGUGCUGCGCACGCUACCAAGUACGUCGUAUGCUAGAGCCAACAGCAGGUCUGUGAUGCUCCCAGAUGUCCUGGGCCGCACGCGCACUACACUGGACCGGGGAGUGUGUCGCUCCGCUCGCCCACGUCCGAGACCAUUGCCCGAAGAGGGAUGGGAAACCAUGGGAAUCCGCUCAGUGUUGAGAGACGCACGUCGCGCCGUGUGGGUUCACGCCCCGCGGUCGACUCGUCCGUGCUCGGGAUAGAUGCUUGCAACUGUCUGCCUUGAACGAGGAAUGCCUAGUAUGCGUGGGUCAUCAGC
rnacentral:rRNA from 1 species